rnacentral:rRNA from 1 species
CCUACGGGUGGCUGCAGUGGGGAAUAUUGCACAAUGGGCGCAAGCCUGAUGCAGCCAUGCCGCGUGUGUGAAGAAGGCCUUCGGGUUGUAAAGCACUUUCAGCGGGGAGGAAGGCGUUAAGGUUAAUAACCUUGGCGAUUGACGUUACCCGCAGAAGAAGCACCGGCUAACUCCGUGCCAGCAGCCGCGGUAAUACGGAGGGUGCAAGCGUUAAUCGGAAUUACUGGGCGUAAAGCGCACGCAGGCGGUCUGUCAAGUCGGAUGUGAGAUCCCCGGGCUCAACCUGGGAACUGCAUUCGAAACUGGCAGGCUAGAGUCUUGUAGAGGGGGGUAGAAUUCCAGGUGUAGCGGUGAAAUGCGUAGAGAUCUGGAGGAAUACCGGUGGCGAAGGCGGCCCCCUGGACAAAGACUGACGCUCAGGUGCGAAAGCGUGGGGAGCAAACAGGAUUAGAUACCCUUGUAGUC